AGCUGAAUUUGUUAUUUGUAAAUAUCAAUAUUUUUUAUUCAGGUGUGGGGAAAAUACGUAAGACUGCAGUGAAGCGAUGUACCAGAUUAAUCCCUGGCCAAAGGCAUCGUACUUAAAUCAGACUACUGAUCCAGCCACAUCAGCCUUUUGUGAGGUCUGUUUAAAGUAGACUUAAAAUGAACUGCAGGUUCCUGAGAGGUGGACUGUGAGCACAGAGACACAUGUUCAUACAUACAGCUGUAGCAAGCUUACAUUAAUUUUAAAUAGAUGUGUUACUCUGAUGUCUGUCUCUGUGUUAGUCCUCUGACAGACUGGUGACCUGUCCAGGUGUGCUCUACCUAUGACUACUGGGACAGGCUCUUGCUCCUGUAAUAGAAAUUUUCUAUUAUUCUCAUUUAAAGUAUUUAAGUGCUUAUGCAUAUGCUUAGUUGUGACACUGUUAUAGACUGUUCAGUGAAAGUUUCUAAAACUAGAUGAACUUACUUCAGCAUCAGCAGUUUGAGAAAACAACUCCCUUUACAGGUGCUGAUAAGGCCAAGGGCACAAAACAGCUUAAUCAUUGAUCCGUUAGGUUUCAUAGCGAGACGAGUGAAGUGUGGUAUGAUCAGUUUGUAACUUCCUCCCUCUUCCUUGGAAUGCACAAAGGAGUAGGAGCACGACUUCUGUGGCAGAGCUGGCAUGACUGUGAACUGUGAUGUUUGAUGUGUGUUGGCUCUCCUGCACGCAGUAAUAAAUAGCUUGAUCACAGCUCUUUCUGUGUUGCAGACUUUAUUUACAAAAUUCCAUGAUACCCUCCACCCUCCCACUGUGAACAUGAAUUGAAUAUUCAGAAGACAUUUGUUUAAAUACUUCUAGAAAUCUGAGCUGUUGGUGUGGUAAUAAUAUUAGAGCUGGCAAUCUUUCUUACUGAAUCUCUACUGUGAGUCAUGUUACCUGAGAUUAAUUCUAUGUUUACCUGACAGUCUGGAGAAAUGUGCUGUGUGAAGGAUGUAAAUCAAAUCAGAUCUUAACUGCUUACAUUUAAGGAGCCUGGUCAUAUUUAAUUAUAAUAUGAACCAAUGAUUUUCUGAUUGAUGAUUCUAAGAGAGUCUUUGUGGAAAUCCUGUUUGGCUUUUUGUCAUUUUAAUUCUCUUUUCCAUUUGCCAGAACAGUUCUCCACAGUCGCUGUCCACAUGGGUCAGUGGGACCAAGAAGCACUCUGCUAAUGUGUGGACCAGCAACAUCCAGCAAGACCCAGACAGCGUUUUCUAUCUCCCAGCUGGAGUUUUUUGUUUGUGACUGGAGAGUCAGAUUUUUGUUGAGCCUCACACUUGCAGAGGUUAAUACACGCCACUGAUCCCUGAUGGGAGAAUCAUCACCUCUGCCAACAAAGAAGCCUGGGGGAUGUUUGUUUGCAGUCUGAUGAUGGGACAUCAUGCUCUGCAUCUUCAAAGUUUGUCUCUUGAUUAUUAUUCAUACACAGUAAUGUGAAGUAUGCUUAUAUCUAGUAUAACUGGACCAACCUGGUGCUCUUCAUUUAUGGAGGCUGUUGAGUCUGAAUGUUGGAUGUUGUGUAUCUCGUGUUCUCUGGGCUUUGUUGUCCUCAGUCUUUUUGCAGGAUCAGAAAACAAAACCAGGAGGCACGUAAAUGUUUCUUCUCCAAUUGGAUGAUGAUAAGACUGUGACACAGGAUGCCACCUUUAGUCUUGUGAUGAAGCAAAGCUCAGGAAGAAGUGUGAUUCAAUUGUACCCACAUGUGUGCUGCUGAGAAGGAUGUACAGGGGCACCUGCAGCCAAAUCCAAGCCUCCUCAGCAACUUCAAGUCUGUCAGCGUGCUGAGGUCACAGAAACAAGAAAAGAAGCUUCAGACUUCAGAGUGUUGUUUACAGUUUUCUGUCAUCAUGAUCUCCCCUGAAGUUUAUCACUGUCAGCCAAGCAAGCAGAGCGGCCGUUUGUGCUCACAGAUGGUGAAGGUGUGGAGAGACGGCGGUGUUUCCUCAGAAGAACCAGCAGAGUCACAAAGGGCACGAGUCCUUCUCACCACCUUGACUUGCUGACUGAUGCUCGUCUGCACUGCACAGAGGAAAUCAACUGACCGAGGAAUGGAGAAAUGGAAUCAAAGGGAGAAGUUUUUGAUGUUUUUGUAAUGAUGUAAGUAAAUCUCCAGUUUCUGAGUGAGGGAGAGAGGAGUCAUCAUCCAGGUAAAGUGACGUGGAUCAGUGGACACACUUGUCUCCCCUUUAAAGGAGACACUCUUAGAGAGAGACGAUCCGAGUCAUCCUUAAAUAUGGGCAGGAUAUCAGUCUUGGACUGUCUAACCUGCAGGAGCAGCACUGAAUGAUCACCACACAUGAGCAUGUUCCUGCAACAUUCAGCAUCUGAUCUGCCAUCUGUGUGCUGCUGCUUUUGUGUCAAAUGUCAAACAGCUGGAGAGGAAACUACACCAGUGUACUGGGAUGUUUCACCAACACGUGCCAGACGCUGUUCCUUCAUGGUUUCAUCACCAGAGACAGCCCCGCCCACCUCAGGACCUCGCCAUUGAUCAUGAUGAUUAUAAUAAUGACAGCGAGCGGAACUAAGACUGUAAAAAUCCAUGACCAGAAUGUUUAGAUGCUUUCUAAUUAUUAAUGAAUACUGAGAGCCUCUUUCUGUGUUUUGUCUGUUUUGGGUUUUUUUUUUUUUUUACCUCAUUUGUUACUAACAAAGUUCACCAAACUCA